CUGCUUCUCAUCUUUCUUUAGAUGGAGUAACAGUUUGCACUUCAGGAAAGCUUAACUGUUGGCUGCUGGAGUUCUCUUGAUAUCAUAACAACCAGUGUCUCACAAUGUGCAAAGAUUUCCGCGUGCUUCACUGCAACAUAGCCAAGUGACUGCCUUUAAUGCCAGCUAUGAAUCUGCAUAUAGGAGCUCAUCCCAAGAUGAAGCUCUACGUGGAUCUGAAUUAAAGGAGUUGACACCGUGCAAGGAAGGACUCAGUGCCACUAAAACGCAGACUGUAAUGAAAACACGUCCUUAGGCAAGAAAAAAAGCUUCAAAGCAGAGAUUGCACCUCAAAUCUGUCAAGGACACAGCACUGGUGUUGUUGCUUCCAAACAGCUCCCCGUGAAGGACAUAUUUUUUGACUGACGUGGUCUCAGCUUGCCCAGUACAUUCCCUGAAGACAGCAGCAUAACGUGUGUUUCCAUAAGGAAAUAAAAACACCUGUCCUAAGUGUCCA
rnacentral:lncRNA from 1 species